AUGAACGCUGGCGGCGUGCCUAAUACAUGCAAGUCGAGCGAACAGAUGAGGAGCUUGCUCCUCUGACGUUAGCGGCGGCCGGGUGAGUAACACGUGGAUAACCUACCUAUAAGCCUGGGAUAACUUCGGGAAACCGGAGCUAAUACCGGAUAAUAUAUUGAACCGCAUGGUUCAAUAGUGAAAGACGGUUUUGCUGUCACUUAUAGAUGGAUCCGCGCCGCAUUAGCUAGUUGGUAAGGUAACGGCUUACCAAGGCAACGAUGCGUAGCCGACCUGAGAGGGUGAUCGGCCACACUGGAACUGAGACACGGUCCAGACUCCUACGGGAGGCAGCAGUAGGGAAUCUUCCGCAAUGGGCGAAAGCCUGACGGAGCAACGCCGCGUGAGUGAUGAAGGUCUUCGGAUCGUAAAACUCUGUUAUUAGGGAAGAACAAAUGUGUAAGUAACUAUGCACGUCUUGACGGUACCUAAUCAGAAAGCCACGGCUAACUACGUG
rnacentral:rRNA from 1 species